GAUGAACGCUGGCGGCGUGCCUAAUACAUGCAAGUCGAGCGAACAGACGAGGAGCUUGCUCCUUCGACGUUAGCGGCGGACGGGUGAGUAACACGUAGGUAACCUACCUAUAAGACUGGGAUAACUUCGGGAAACCGGAGCUAAUACCGGAUAAUAUUUCGAACCGCAUGGUUCGAUAGUGAAAGAUGGCUUUGCUAUCACUUAUAGAUGGACCUGCGCCGUAUUAGCUAGUUGGUAAGGUAACGGCUUACCAAGGCAACGAUACGUAGCCGACCUGAGAGGGUGAUCGGCCAAACUGGAACUGAGACACGGUCCAGACUCCUACGGGAGGCAGCAGUAGGGAAUCUUCCGCAAUGGGCGAAAGCCUGACGGAGCAACGCCGCGUGAGUGAUGAAGGUCUUCGGAUCGAAAAACUCUGUUAUUAGGGAAGAACAAACGUGUAAGUAACUGUGCACGUCUUGACGGUACCUAAUCAGAAAGCCACGGCGAACUACGU
rnacentral:rRNA from 1 species